rnacentral:rRNA from 1 species
AGUGAACGCUGGCGGUAGGCCUAACACAUGCAAGUCGAACGGCAGCACAGUAAGAGCUUGCUCUUACGGGUGGCGAGUGGCGGACGGGUGAGGAAUACAUCGGAAUCUACUUUUUCGUGGGGGAUAACGUAGGGAAACUUACGCUAAUACCGCAUACGACCUACGGGUGAAAGCAGGGGAUCUUCGGACCUUGCGCGAUUGAAUGAGCCGAUGUCGGAUUAGCUAGUUGGCGGGGUAAAGGCCCACCAAGGCGACGAUCCGUAGCUGGUCUGAGAGGAUGAUCAGCCACGCUGGAACUGAGACACCGUCCAGACUCCUACGGGAGGCAGCAGGGAGGAAUAUAGGACAAGGGGCGCAAGCCUGAUCCAGCCAUGCCGCGUGGGUGAAGAAGGCCGUGGGGUUGUAAAGCCCUUUUGUUGAGAAAGAACAGCAGCAGGUUAAUACCCCGUUGUGCUGACGGUACCCAAAGAAUAAGCACCGACUAACUUC